rnacentral:rRNA from 1 species
CCCUUAGAUGUUCUGGGCCGCACGCGCGCUACACUGAUGCAUUCAACGAGUCUAAAACCUGCUCUGAUAGGGGUGGGUAAUCUUUUGAAUGUGCAUCGUGAUUGGGAUAGAUGAUUGCAAUUUUUCAUCUUCAACGAGGAAUGCCUAGUAAACGCAAGUCAUCAGCUUGCAUUGAUUACGUCCCUGCCCUUUGUACACACCGCCCGUCGCUCCUACCGAUUGAAUGAUCCGAUGAAUAUCAUGGAUUGAGGAUGCAAGCAGGUUCGCCUGUCUUCAGCUUCGAGAAGUGAAGUAAAUCUUAUCAUUUAGAGGAAGGAGAAGUCGUAACA